UACGUAGGGGGCAAGCGUUGUCCGGAAUUAUUGGGCGUAAAGGGCGCGUAGGCGGGUAUUUAAGUCUGGUGUGAAAGAUCAGGGCUCAACCCUGAGAGUGCAUCGGAAACUGGGUAUCUUGAGGACAGGAGAGGAAAGUGGAAUUCCACGUGUAGCGGUGAAAUGCGUAGAUAUGUGGAGGAACACCAGUGGCGAAGGCGACUUUCUGGACUGUAACUGACGCUGAGGCGCGAAAGCGUGGGGAGCAAACAGG
rnacentral:rRNA from 1 species